rnacentral:rRNA from 1 species
UACGUAGGGUGCAAGCGUUGUCCGGAAUUAUUGGGCGUAAAGAGCUCGUAGGCGGUCUGUCGCGUCUGCUGUGAAAACUCGGGGCUUAACCCCGGGCCUGCAGUGGGUACGGGCAGACUAGAGUGCGGUAGGGGAGACUGGAAUUCCUGGUGUAGCGGUGAAAUGCGCAGAUAUCAGGAGGAACACCGGUGGCGAAGGCGGGUCUCUGGGCCGUAACUGACGCUGAGGAACGAAAGCGUGGGGAGCGAACAGG